CAUGACUUGCUUCGGUGGUGAGCAUACUAAAUUGGAACAAUACAGAGAAGAUCAGCAUGGCUUUUUGUUAAGAAAACAAGAAAGUUCAUGGCAAGUUCCAGAUAUAA
rnacentral:snRNA from 1 species